GAUGCAUUGGGAAAACUACAGGUUUUUUACUGAGUAGGAAGAAGACAAAUGAGGAUAAAGCGGAGCAGGGACAACACAUAGCAGAAACAAAGAAAACAUCUAGGAAAUAAUAUUCUUUCCUGAGCAGAAACAAGCAAAUGAAGAGGUGUAGAUGAAGACAGAUGACAGUAGCUGUCCUCCUUCAAUACUGAGGAAAAGGCCACCUGUGGACCAGGCUGUGGGGGAAAAGCGGAAAGCAGAGAGAAGGGUUCGAUUUCGUGAGCCGGAAGAAGUCAUUGAGCAUGUUAUUUCCUGCUGUGACUACGUAGUGGUACAUGACAGGUCUUCACCUGGAUUGCCUAUGCUCCUGGGGCUAUCAUUUUGUGUGGUACUGAUCCUGGCUGCAAGUCUCUUCUACACCAGCAUGAAGCAAGAUACCAAAGUCCUGGAAGAGUUUCAAUCCCGACUUGUUAUCUUCUUUCUUCAGAUAAGACACAUUGCUCAUAGAUGCUGGACCUGGUUUACAAGGUAGUAGCGAUGUCCUCCAUUUGCAGGAAGGCAGCACUGAUAAUCACCACGUGUCAGAGAGAACCUCCCAGCCCCCUCAGUCCACACGUAAGGAACACAUGAGUAUCCACCUUGAAGAGCAAAAAAAGCCACCCAUUUUGUGCACUUUCUAACAUCUACUUGUUCUCUCUUUUUUAAAAUAUAUAUAUUUUUUAAUAUUUCUGAAUGAUAGUAGUAGCACUAAGAGGUCCCACCAAACUGAUGUUCCAUCACCCUUAGCAGCAAACAAGGGUAUGAGUUUAGUCCCCUGAAGAGACUAUAAACUGUUGCUAUAAGGAGCAGAGGCAGAGAGAGAAAUUCAUUGAUCUGUGCACACAGAAGCACAUUGAAUAGAAGUCUCCUGAGUCUCAGGUCAAAGAAUAAACACCAAACCAUUUUUCUCCUCAAGCCUCUUACGUGCUAUUCUGCAAAGUUUAACAUAAAGCUGAACUAUUGCACAAACACUGCUCUGCUGGCCAAAGGCUUGGCAAGCUGCUAUAUUUAUAUACUUGAAAUGAUUGCUAGUAAAAAUCUCAGCAAAUGGCUUUCUUGUUUCCCUUCAUGCAUUUUUUCCUCUGUGGGCAAAAGCUGUUCCUUAAUGUUUCACUUGACUCCCAGGUGUGAAAAAUAACGUGAGAACUCAUUUAAAUACUAAACAGUGCAUUUGCCUAACACAAUACAGGGCAGCAUUGAAUCCCAGGUUAAUUAUCAAAUCAGAACUUAAUCCUCUUGGUUUGAUUCAGUCCAUAAACCCAAGAUUUAUGGUUGUGUUUGUCUUCAGUCGAAGCUUUCACAUUUAUGCCUGCAUGUUCAAGGGUAUUAUAGACUGUUUACAAAGGUGUUGGGUCAAAGCCCUGUUAUCUCUGUUGUAGCACCAUACAGCGUACCUCUCUGGAGGGAACCAAGCAUAUGCAAUCUUAUGAGCUUCAGCUAUGCUUUGUUCUUAGAAUCACAUAAUUGCUCAGGUUGGAAAAGACCUUCAAGAUCAUCAAGUCAACCACAGACAGAAACAGCAUGAUCCAUUUUCCAGGCCCUACAUUCUUGUCGAGUAAUACUUGAUAUAUGCAUAAGGGUGACAGCAGAGCCCAUAGAAGCUGAAGAAAAGAAAGGAAACAGUGGAGAAGAGGAAAGAGAUGCCUGCAAGACCUUGGCUUUAACUCCUCUGCCACAGUAAUGCACCAGAAGGAAAAAAAAAAAAAGAUUCCUAACCAACUUUCAAAAAAAGCAAGCUUGUCCAGGCUGCCCAAAAAUUUAAACCAGACAGAGGGUAAAAGAAAACCAAUUACAUAGCCUCCACCUAGAGCAGAGUGGGCAGCAAGUUGACCAAUAACGAGUACAAAUAUAUAUAUUUGUAGACAGUAAGAAGUGACUUGAGCAGCUAUUCUCAUGCUCUGAAGGCAACAGCAAUUGCACCUGGGGAGCUGCUGGUCUGGGACACACAGGGCACUGCAGGAGCGUUUGGCUCAGUGGCUCUUUAUGCAAACCACUCAUGCACCCCAGCCCUCAGGGUAAGUCCCCUGAGGCUUCCCUGCUCUCUCUCUCUCUCUCUCUCUCUCCACUCAGCCCACUGUUGAGAUAAUAAAGAAGAGGUUUUAAACUUAUGCUCUGGUGAAUCUAUGGUGGGAAGGUUUUUUUCUGAAGAGUCAGUUCCUGCACUGCAAGUUGUGGUAUACUGCAACAUAGAAAGGCAAGGCCUG
ensembl:lncRNA